rnacentral:lncRNA from 1 species
CCGACGAAUAUUUCAAAAUAACCUGUAUAAACACUAAAAAAAAAAGAAUAUUAGUAACAAAUAAUCAAAAUAAAUUGAACAAGCAUCAAAAUAAAUUGAACAAGUGUGUAUGCGUAUAAAUAUUUAAAAAUAUAUUUUUUAUUAAAAAGUGGGCUCAGAUAAUGUCAUGACUGCGAAAUGGUUGCUCAAUUAAUUGGCCGUUCUAAAUCGUCUUGCAACGAAGUGGUUGCUCAAUUAAUUGGCCGUCCUAAAUCGUCUUGCCAAGAUAUGAAUUGUAAAAUCUUGUGUUAUAAAGUUUCAUCAUCGCCCAAAAAAUAUUUAUUUAUUACGUAUGUAUACGUAAAAAGUCCGUCUUUUGUUUACGGAUGCCUCAAAAUUAAUAAUAAUUUUUUCAUUGGCCAAAUGUGUAGUAUCCAUUCACCAUCAGUGUAAAUAAAUGAGAAGGACAAAAAUCGUUCAAAAAUCACUCCAACAGCAGCAAACUCAAGGCAAACAAAAAUGGUCAAUAACAGUGAUAGUAAAAUAGCAAAGCUAACAGAGACAAACUCACUAUCUAAUUAAUUCAAAUAUCCAUCCAAACGGCUUUGACUAGAUCUGUGUAGUAAGAAAAAUAUUAGAGAAAAGGGGCGGCUCGUGGCUGUUUCUCGAUGUUGGUAGCGACUGUUGUAGUGGUUGACGGCGGCAGAUCUGGGAAGAAAUUCGAUGCUCAUCGGUCAUCACCUCCGGCUAGCUUGCGGCAAAAUGUAAAGGGAAAGCUUGUAGCGUGGGGGGUGGUAUUGUCGGACGGCUGUUUCAGGGAAGAAAAUUGUGUGGAGGUGGCGCGUGAGAUUGGAUGAACUGUUGAUAUCUACGGAGA